CCAGAGAAUUUAGCAGAGAUGCUUUAGUGCCUUCGGGAACUCUGAGACAGGUGCUGCAUGGCUGUCGUCAGCUCGUGUUGUGAAAUGCUGGGUUAAGUCCCGNAACGAGCGCAACCCUUAUCCUUUGUUGCCAGCACGUAAUGGUGGGAAACUCAAAGGAGACUGCCGGUGAUAAACCGGAGGAAGGUGGGGAUGACGUCAAGUCAUCAUGGCCCUUACGAGUAGGGCUACACACGUGCUACAAUGGCGCAUACAAAGAGAAGCGACCUCGCGAGAGCAAGCGGACCUCAUAAAGUGCGUCGUAGUCCGGAUUGGAGUCUGCAACUCGACUCCAUGAAGUCGGAAUCGCUAGUAAUCGUAAAUCAGAAUGUUACGGUGAAUACGUUCCCGGGCCUUGUACACACCGCCCGUCACACCAUGGGAGUGGGUUGCAAAAGAAGUAGAUAGCUUAACCUUCGGGAGGGCGUUUACCACUUUGUGAUUCAUGACUGGGGUGAAGUCGUAACAAGGUAAGCGUAGUGCU
rnacentral:rRNA from 1 species